AAGUCUUCAGGGGGAGACAUCUCACUUGCAAAGAAUCCGCCCAAGACUUCGGACCUCUCCUUCUGUAAAGCAUGGACUACCCGAUCAACAUAAAUAUGAGUGCAUGGCCAGGCGGGAACUGUGACACUUGAAACAAAGGGACCCGGCUCGUGUGGUGUCACUCUGCUUCCGUGUGAUUGGUACAGGGCCACAGCAGGGGCUUCAAACAACAACGGAUGUCCACUUCCACCGGGGGUUGCAGUGAGACAUAGCUACUGGGAUUUCCAAUAGUACCCACUGCCCUCUGACAGACACCUGCUACGUGGACCACAGCUCCACAUCUCUCCAUCUAGAUUCUACGCUACAGCAUGGUCGUACUGCAGUCUGGUGAUACUGCAUAACUAAUCUAAUCAUAUAGAAAUGUUUUGCUGUUUUUAUACCAGUAUAUUAAAGUAAGCAUGUAAAAAAUGUAUAUGGUUUGUCAUGCCAUGAUGUACACAAUUAGAUUAGAUUGUUAUUAGUAAGGAUGAUUAUUAUCUCAAUAAAUAAAGAUUUCCAUUAGAAAAUGUGGUUUAAAAAUAUAUAAUAUUGGUUUAGACCACUUGGUAAUUCAGAUAUAGCAACUGUCAGAUGUACUAUCAGACAACUAUUGAGAUAAAGAAACUCUUGAAGUGACUUUAAAAUACUUCAAAUUAUUUAAGGCAUGCUUGAUUUAACUUGGAGUAUGCACUCCAGUAUUCCAUUGGUUUUAUUGUGAACAUAAUCAAUUGCACCUCGAGAACUUGAAUGUAUUUGACACAGGUCUGGAGAACUGUGACAACCAACCCAUGUCUCAGUUUCCCCUA